rnacentral:lncRNA from 1 species
AAAAGGGAAAAUUGAAAUCAAGUAGUACAACAAGAAUCGAUCUAUGAAGCGGUUAGAAUGAUGAACUUUUCAAACCGAGUUUUGCGAUUUGGAUGAGGAUUGUCGAGCCUCUUACCAGUUGAGAAUGGUGAAAUGGAAUGCAAAAAUAGAGAGAACUCGAAAUUCCAAAUGAUUGAGAAGCAAAAACCACUUAAAACGGAUGAAAAUCUAAGCUUUGGUGGUUGCUUAAAAAUCGCAAGGGUGGGGGAUCAGUGUACGGCGGAGUGAAAAGGGAAAGUGGAAGAGUGGAGCCUUAAAUAGGCAAAACCCUAACUGGCCUUAUUUAAUUUUUCUUUUUUAUUUUUUUUUGGUUCGGAACACUUACCUGGAACAGACAAUGGGUUGUUCUACUAGAAGAACAGUCCUUUGGUUGUUCUGACUGAAGUGUCCGAUUUUUCUUGUUUUUGACCUACAAAAUAAAUCUGAA